UACGUAGGGUGCGAGCGUUAUUCGGAAUUACUGGGCGUAAAGCGUGCGCAGGCGGUUUUGUAAGCCCGCUGUGAAAGCCCCGGGCUCAACCUGGGAAUGGCAUUUGGGACUGCAAGGCUGGAGUUUGGCAGAGGAGACUGGAAUUCCUGGUGUAGCAGUGAAAUGCGUAGAUAUCAGGAGGAACACCGAUGGCGAAGGCAGGUCUCUGGGCUGAAACUGACGCUCAAGCACGAAAGCGUGGGGAGCAAACAGG
rnacentral:rRNA from 1 species